rnacentral:rRNA from 1 species
CGGGGACAAWUACGGGAAACUGUGACUAAUCCCCAGAUAGAUGGCAGAUGMCUAGAAUGAAUUCGUCAUCCAAAGUCAGCUAUGCUWGWAGAGCACGCRCCUGAGGAUGGGUCAGCGGCUGAUUAGGUUGUURVUGGGGUAAACGGCCCACCAAGCCAUCGAUCAGUACMGGCMGUGAAAGCGAGAACCGGGAGAUGGGCACUGAGACAAAGGCCAAGGCUACGGAGCGCAGMAAUCGCGAAACCUCAACAAUACCGAGA